GACAGAGGGUGCAAACGUUGUUCGGAAUUACUGGGCGUAAAGCGCGUGUAGGCGGCUCGGCAAGUCGGGUGUGAAAGCCCUGGGCUCAACCCAGGAAGUGCACUCGAAACUGCCAGGCUUGAGUUCCGGAGAGGAAGGCGGAAUUCUCGGUGUAGAGGUGAAAUUCGUAGAUAUCGAGAGGAACACCGGUGGCGAAGGCGGCCUUCUGGACGGCAACUGACGCUGAGACGCGAAAGCGUGGGGAGCAAACAGG
rnacentral:misc_RNA from 1 species